CUACGAUAGAACCCCAACACCCAUGCAGGAAGCAGAGAUCUGCUUCCCCACACAUGCGGACCCAGGACGCCAUGCAUGAACAGAGGUCUCCAAACAGAUGCUGAAUAGGACAGAAAAAGGCUCCUGCAGACUCGCUAAGAAGAAAUAAUCCUCUCCGACAAGUUAUGUUAUCUAGGCAUGUUUUUGCACUAGUAUGCUGUGGCUUCCAUGAAGAGCUUGUUUGCGUGCACUCAAGCCUGGCUGGCGUUGGUUCUCCUAAUUACCAUCUUAAAAACUGGAACGAUUUUAAGCAACUCAGUGACCUUUCAUACAUAAAAUAGCAAAACCAAUCUCACAGUUUCACUAUCAACUAUCAGCGAAGCAUCACAGAGGACUGAGAUUUGAACAGGUCAGCGUGCUCAAAAGGGUUUUUGCCUCUCUUUUCUGGGACACUGCAUUCACAGUUGGAUUCAUCUGUUCUCUUCUCUUGUCCUCAGAAAGAGUGACAAGGUCAAGACCCUUAGCCCCACCCUGGAUCAUAGAUGCGGAGAGGAGAGCCUGGAGGACUCGGAAGUGCUUUAACUCUGUGCACGCCAGAGUUCUUACAAAUUAGAGCUUCAUUUACUGAAAUCAGGGCAUCAAAGAAACAGGCAACGCAAGGAUUGUUUGGUCACACUGAAUACCUCAUUGACAGAUAUAGCAGCUUCAUCCCCAAAAGGCCAAUGAGUGGCUUUUUUUCCAAAAUAAGAAAAUUUGCUACUCUGCUUCACUGUAUUCUCGGGGCUUUGCACGUAGAGUUCACCGGAGAAAUACACACCCUCCUUCUGUUUAUUGGAAAAGGAAGAAUUCCACGCGUAAUUACCCAAGCCAAACAGAUACGAGAGUCACAGAAUGAAUAUACGAAAAUGAGUGCCCUUGCCAAGAAUGCUGUCGUAUGAAAUCCAACAUGUCCCUUUGAAGUAGGAAAAGCAUCAUGUAAAUUAACUUGGAUCCAGAGAGACCUUGGGGAAAUAGAGUGUGACCCUCUUCCCCUUGUGGCUUGUGCUGGGUGUUGGAGCGGAAGGCUCUUGGCCUCUCUGUAGCUCUCUUUGCCCUAUAGUUAAAUGAAGCCAAAGGCUGCUAAUUUAUUUUAAAGGACGUGAAGAACCUGUAAUAAAACUGGGUGUGUUUGGUCAGUGUAAAUAUUAAUAAAAAGUGGAACGGUUGUAUGAGUAUCCGACAAAAGUUUGGUAGGAAAGAGCAAAAAUACAAGGCUCAGGUUACUGCUCUGAUAGUCCAUGCAACUCUUCCUACAUUUCAAUAAACUAUAAAUCCAUCCAUAGUAGUAACGACCAGAAUUGAACCAAACCACUGAAUCUUUUACAUGUAGCCACUUCCUUUGUAAAGCUGAGACCUAACUAACGGGAGCACCACUGAGGUAAAGGCUCACUGCUCCACCCCAAUUCUAUCAAGAUGACAGACUGAGGACCUUGUGCAUGUGCUGAGGGUGGGAUUGUUAAAUGAGUGGAUAGAACAUGGAUGUCAUUUAAAAUAUUUGCAUAGUGUAUAGGAAGUUUGUGACCCCGAAUGUACAACGAAUUAACCUCUGUUCUUCCUUACACAUCCAAUAGGCUUCCUUUCUCUCAGCUUGAGUCUUCUUACUGAAUAUUGAUCAAAUAAGUAUUUGUUAAAAAAUAAAUUACCAUUUUAACCAUUGAAACGGGGGAAAGGUUUUCAAGGUUUGCAUUUUUCUUUAUAAAUAGGAAAAAAAAAACUUCCCCACUUUAGGUAUGAGUUGGCACAAACGACAACUCAGGAAAGUUCCUUUCACACUAGUGUGCUCUAAACUUCGAGGUCUCUUUGUAUUUCAGGCAUCCCCCAACACUGAUAGAGGUGGCAUAGUGUUAC